rnacentral:rRNA from 1 species
GGAGGUGGCAAGCGUUACUCGGAAUCAUUGGGUGUAAAGGGCAAGUAGGCGGUUUGAUAAGUGAGGGGCGAAAUCUCCCGGCUCAAUCGGGAAACUGCCUUUCAAACUAUCAGACUUGAGGCAGGAAGAGGGAAAUGGAAUUCUCGGUGUAAGGGUGAAAUCUGUAGAUAUCGAGAAGAACACCGGCGGCGAAGGCGAUUUCCUGGUCCUGUCCUGACGCUGAAUUGCGAAAGCUAGGGGAGCAAACAGAAUUAGAUACUCUGGUAGUCCUAGCCGUAAACGAUGAGCACUAGGUGUUGGGGCGCAAGUCUCAGUGCCGCAGCUAACGCAUUAAGUGCUCCACCUGGGGACUACGGUCGCAAGGCUA